GUUAAGUCUGUAUAGAACAGUGUGGUCUGUAGAUGACAGGGUUAAGUCUGUAUAGAACAGUGUGGUCUGUAUAAAACAGUGUGGUCUGUAGAUGACAGGGUUAAGUCUGUAUAGAACAGUGUGGUCUGUAGAUGACAGGGUUAAGUCUGUAUAGAACAGUGUGGUCUGUAGAUGACAGGGUUAAGUCUGUAUAGAACAGUGUGGUGUGCACUUGGGCGAGCAGCCGAUUCACUGCCCAUCUUCACUAUGUUGUUUUUCCAAGAUAUUUCUCCCACAACUCUGUCAUUCCCAUUGGAUGGAUCCGGGAAUUGUGUACAGAUUUCCAAAGGGCAGGAUUACUCAUUCUUUUCCGUAGCACCAGGCCAAACCACACUCCCCUGUUGCCAGGAUACUGCGCUUACUUGGAGAAUAAUUCUGGGAUAGCUGAGAGCAGGGCGACUGAGUCACCAAUUCUUCAGCUGACAAAGCAGUAGUAACGAAUCCUUGGGCUCACUGGCUCAGGGCAUCCUACUGACUUUACAAUCAGAUUUCAGAGUUACACAUUGUUCGCAUGUAGGCAAUUAUUCAGCAGGAUAGACAACGGAGAUUUAGUGUUUCUUGCUUACUUGGAUUAUCAGAAGGCCUCAGGCUGAAGGAGCAACUCAUUCUAUCUGAUAUACAGUGGAGAGCAUCUGAACUGGUUGCUUCACCAUCUGGUGUGGAGGGGCCACUGCAGGACUGGGAAAAGCUGCAGGAAGUUGUCAGCGUCGUCAUGGACACUAGCCUCUCCAGCAUCAUGCAUCUUCAACAGGAAAUGCCUCAAAAAGAGGCAACUCCCAACACCCAGGGCGUGCUCUCUUCUCAUUACUACCUUAGGGAAGGAGGUACAGGAGCCUGAAGGUGCACACACAGUGAUUCAUGAACAGCUUCUUCCCCUCUGCCAACAGAUUUUGUAUGACAUUGAACUGCUGCUGCGAAGUUAACAAAUUUCACGUCACGUGAUUCUGAAGUGGAGGGUUUGCUCAGGACUCGGCAGUGUGGAACUCAGCAAGCCAGGUAGUAUCUGAUGGAGGAAGUGGCUCGAGAACUCUUCCCCCUUUCUUACCGAUCCUGGUGAAGGGUGGGGACACUGCCUGACCUACUGAGUUCCUCCGACACCACGGAGCUACGGGGAUGUUUAUUUAAUUAAUUUAUUUAUUUAGAGAUACUGAGCGGAACACACCCUCCCAGCCCAACAAGCCACGCUCCAACUGCAACUCACGAUUUAACUCCAGCCUAAUCACUGGACAGCUUACAAUGAACAACUAACCUGCUAGUCCUGGUGGCGGGUUUCGGCCAGAAAUGUCAACUGUACUUUUUUCCGUAGAUGCUGCCUGGCCUGCUGAGUUCCUGCAGCAUUUUGUGUGUGUUACUCUGACCAUAGACACUGUCUGACCUGCUGAGUUCCUCCAGCAUUUUGUGUGUGUUACUCUGACCAUAGACACUGUCUGACCUGCUGAGUUCCUCCAGC